rnacentral:piRNA from 1 species
UGUGACUCCCUGGUGCUUCCUCGCUGUCCCCA